rnacentral:rRNA from 1 species
CCUACGGGAGGCAGCAGUGGGGAAUAUUGGACAAUGGGCGAAAGCCUGAUCCAGCAAUGCCGCGUGAGUGAUGAAGGCCUUAGGGUUGUAAAGCUCUUUUACCAGGGAUGAUAAUGACAGUACCUGGAGAAUAAGCUCCGGCUAACUCCGUGCCAGCAGCCGCGGUAAUACGGAGGGAGCUAGCGUUGUUCGGAAUUACUGGGCGUAAAGCGUGCGUAGGCGGCUAUUCAAGUCAGAGGUGAAAGCCCGGGGCUCAACCCCGGAACGGCCUUUGAAACUAGGUAGCUAGAAUCUUGGAGAGGUUAGUGGAAUUCCGAGUGUAGAGGUGAAAUUCGUAGAUAUUCGGAAGAACACCAGUGGCGAAGGCGACUAACUGGACAAGUAUUGACGCUGAGGUACGAAAGCGUGGGGAGCAAACAGGAUUAGAUACCCUGGUAGUCCACGCCGUAAACGAUGAUAACUAGCUGUCCGGGCACUUGGUGCUUGGGUGGCGCAGCUACGCAUUAAGUUAUCCGCCCGGGACGGUACGGUCGCGAGAGUAAACUACGAAAGAAGUAGACGG